UACGUAGGUGGCAAGCGUUGUCCGGAUUUACUGGGCGUAAAGAGCGCGCAGGCGGUCGCUCAAGUCGCGUGUGAAAGCCCCCGGCUCAACUGGGGAGGGUCACGCGAUACUGAUCGACUCGAAGGCAGGAGAGGGUAGUGGAAUUCCCGGUGUAGUGGUGAAAUGCGUAGAUAUCGGGAGGAACACCAGUGGCGAAGGCGACUACCUGGCCUGUUCUUGACGCUGAGGCGCGAAAGCUAGGGGAGCAACGGG
rnacentral:rRNA from 1 species